GCACUGGUGGUUCAGUGGUAGAAUUCUCGCCUCCCACGCUGGAGACCAAGGUUCGAUUCCUGGGCCAGUGCC
rnacentral:tRNA from 1 species